rnacentral:rRNA from 1 species
AUUGAACGCUGGCGGCAGGCCUAACACAUGCAAGUCGAGCGGAUGAAGGUAGCUUGCUCCUGGAUUCAGCGGCCGACUGGUGAGUAAUUCCUAGGAAUCUGCCUGGUAGUGGGGGAUAACGUCCGGAAACGGGCGCUAAUACCGCAUACGUCCUGAUGGUGAAAGUGGGGGAUCUUCGGACCUCUCGCUAUCAGAUGAGCCUAGGUCGGAUUAGCUAGUUGGUGGGGUAAAGGCCUACCAAGGCGACGAUCCGUAACUGGUCUGAGAGGAUGAUCAGUAACACGGGAACAGAGACAAGGACCAGAAACCUACGGGAGGGAGCAGUGGGGAAUAGUGGACAAUGGGGGAAAGGAUGAUAGAGAAAAGCCGCGUGUGAGAAGAAGGUCUUCGGAUUGUAAAGAACAUUAAGUGGGGAGGAAGGGAAGUAAGAUAAAAAAUUGCUGGUUUGACGUUAACAAAAGAAGAAGCAACGGCUAACUACGUG